rnacentral:rRNA from 1 species
CGCGUAGGCGGAUGAAUAAGUCGGAUGUGAAAUCCCCGAGCUUAACUUGGGAAUUGCAUUCGAUACUGGGAAGCUAGAGUAUGGGAGAGGAUGGUAGAAUUCCAGGUGUAGCGGUGAAAUGCGUAGAGAUCUGGAGGAAUACCGAUGGCGAAGGCAGCCAUCUGGCCUAAUACUGACGCUGAGGUGCGAAAGCAUGGGGAGCAAACAGGAUUAGAUACCCCGGUA